UACGUAGGGUGCGAGCGUUAAUCGGAAUUACUGGGCGUAAAGCGUGCGCAGGCGGUUUUGUAAGCCAGAUGUGAAAGCCCCGGGCUUAACCUGGGAAUGGCAUUUGGGACUGCAAGGCUUGAGUGCGGCAGAGGGGGUGGAAUUCCGACGUGUAGCAGUGAAAUGCGUAGAGAUGAUGGAGGAACACCGAUGGCGAAGGCAGCCCCCUGGGUCGACACGUGACGCCUCGAUGCACGAAAGCGUGGGGAGCAA
rnacentral:rRNA from 1 species